AAGUCGUAACAAGGUUUCCGUAGGUGAACCUGCGGAAGGAUCAUUAUCGAGGGGGGGCUAUGCCCCCCAAAGGAUGUAGGCCAGCUUGAAUUGUAGCCCGUUUGGCACAUACAGACGAUAAAAAAGACCCUGUUGAGUGUAGUGUGGCUCACGCCAUCUCUGCAGCUCAGGGCCUUCUACCUAGGAUGUGUCUGCUGCCUACUCGGUGGUAGUAUGCCCUAUGGUAGGACGUCUUUUUGGAGCAAACGUUACUUGGAUGGCUGGUAGCUACCAUUCUGUACCCCUGUCUAUGAGUACUCUUGUUUCCUCGGCAGGCUUGCCUGCCAUUGAGGACCCAUCAACCCUUUUUAUGUUGUGGUAAUCGUAACAAAACAAUAAUCAAAACUUUCAACAACGGAUCUCUUGGUUCUG
rnacentral:misc_RNA from 1 species